rnacentral:rRNA from 1 species
UACGUAGGGGGCAAGCGUUUGUCCGGAUUUAUUGGGCGUAAAGCGCUCGCAGGCGGCUCGAUGCGUCGUGCGUUGAAACACCCCCGGGCUCAACUGGGGGAGGGUCGUGCGAUACGGUCGGGGCUUGAGGCCAGUAGGGGGGAUGCGGAAUUCCGGGGUGUAGUGGUGGAAUGCGUAGAGAUCCGGAGGAACACCAGCGGCGAAGGCGGCAUCCUGGACUGGUACUGACGCUCAG